rnacentral:lncRNA from 1 species
GGAGGUGGUGGGGGUCCACCCCCAGGAGGGCUAGGAGCACCAGGAACACCAGGGGGAGGUGGAGGAGGAGGACCUCGACCAACGGGAGGAGGUGGAGGAGGAGGACCUCGACCACCAGGAGGAGGUGGUCCUUGACCACCCGGAGGUGGUGGUGGAGGUGGUGCUCCAUACAUUGGAGGGGGUGGAGGAGGUGGUCCUCUCCCACCAGGAGGUGGUGGUGGUGGAGGUGGGAGAAGUGGGGCUCGACCACCAGGAGGAGGUGGGGCUCCAUACAUUGGAGGAGGUGGAGGAGGUGGUCCUCUCCCACUAGGAGGUGGUGGUGGUGGAGGUGGUGCUCCAUACAUUGGAGGAGGUGGGGGAGGUGGAGCUCCACUUGAUGGACGAAGGGGUGGUGGAGGUGGAGGUGGGGCUCCACUUGAUGGAGGAAGAGGUGGCGGUGGGGGAGGGGGGGCUCUAGACAAUGGAGGAGGUG